GACGAACGCUGGCGGCGUGCUUAACACAUGCAAGUCGAACGGAAAGGCCCUGCUUUUGUGGGGUGCUCGAGUGGCGAACGGGUGAGUAACACGUGAGUAACCUGCCCUUGACUUUGGGAUAACUUCAGGAAACUGGGGCUAAUACCGGAUAGGAGCUCCUGCUGCAUGGAGGGGGUUGGAAAGUUUCGGCGGUUGGGGAUGGACUCGCGGCUUAUCAGCUUGUUGGUGGGGUAGUGGCUUACCAAGGCUUUGACGGGUAGCCGGCCUGAGAGGGUGACCGGCCACAUUGGGACUGCGAUACGGCCCAGACUCCUACGGGAGGCAGCAGUGGGGAAUAUUGCACAAUGGGCGGAAGCCUGAUGCAGCAACGCCGCGUGCGGGAUGACGGCCUUCGGGUUGUAAACCGCUUUCGCCUGUGACGAAGCGUGAGUGACGGUAAUGGGUAAAGAAGCACCGGCUAACUACGUG
rnacentral:rRNA from 1 species